AUCAUCGAAUCUUUGAACGCAUAUUGCGCUCUUUGGUAUUCCGAAGAGCAUGCUUGUUUGAGUAUCAGUAAACACCUCAAAGCCUUUUUUGUUAAAAGACUUUGGACUUGAGCAAUCCCAACAUCAAUCUCUCGAGAUUGGAGGCGGGUUGCUUGAAAUGCAGGUGCAGCUGGACAUUCUCCUGAGCUAAAAGCAUAUUCAUUUAGUCCCGUCAAACGGAUUAUUACUUUUGCUGCAGCUAAUAUAAAGGGAGUUUGACCAUUUUGGCUGACUGAUGCAGGAAUUUCACAAGAGUCUUCAAACCACUCUUGUUAAACUCGAUCUCAAAUCAAGUAAGACUACCCGCUGAACUUAA
rnacentral:sRNA from 1 species